rnacentral:rRNA from 1 species
AACGAACGCUGGCGGCAUGCCUAACACAUGCAAGUCGAACGAGACCUUCGGGUCUAGUGGCGCACGGGUGCGUAACGCGUGGGAACCUGCCCUUAGGUUCGGAAUAACUCCCCGAAAGGGGUGCUAAUACCGGAUAAUGUCUUCGGACCAAAGAUUUAUCGCCUUUGGAUGGGCCCGCGUUGGAUUAGCUAGUUGGUAGGGUAAAAGCCUACCAAGGCGACGCUCCAUAGCUGGUCUGAGAGGAUGAUCAGCCACACUGGGACUGAGACACGGCCCAGACUCCUACGGGAGGCAGCAGUGAGGACUAUUGCACACUGGGCGAAAGCCUGAUCCAGCAAUGCCGCGUGAGUGAUGAAGGCCUUAGGGUCGUAAAGCUCUUUUACACGGGACGAUAAUGACAGUACCGGGCGAAUAAGCCCCGGCUAACUCCGUG